AUUGAACGCUGGCGGCAGGCCUAACACAUGCAAGUCGAACGAGUGGCGGACGGGUGAGUAAUGUCUGGGAAACUGCCUGAUGGAGGGGGAUAACUACUGGAAACGGUAGCUAAUACCGCAUCCCAUCGGAUGUGCCCAGAUGGGAUUAGCUAGUAGGUGGGGGAAAGGCUCACCUAGGCGACGAUCCCUAGCUGGUCUGAGAGGAUGACCAGCCACACUGGAACGGAGACACGGUCCAGACUCCGACGGGAGGCAGCAGUGGGGAAUAUUGGACAAUGGGCGAAAGCAUGAUCCAGCCAUGCCGCGUGUGUGAAGAAGGUCUUCGGAUUGUAAAGCACUUUAAGUUGGGAGGCGUUACCAACAGAAUAAGCACCGGCUAACUUCGUGCCAGCCGCCGCGGUAAUAC
rnacentral:rRNA from 1 species